UGAUAAAUGUCAUUACCUAUUUUUAUGUACAUUGUUACAGACUGAGUAACAAUUGAGCUCAAAUCAAUUUUAACUUCAAUUCUCAGCUUAAAUUAUCACUUAUCGUAAACCAUUGUCACACGCAACAAAAACUUUCCACCAAAACACUAUUGCCAACGUAAUAUAAGGUAUGUAUUUAACGAAAACCUUCCUUAAUAUUAAUUUCUUGACCUGGGCUCGAGCACCCGCGUGCUUACGUAGUCCGAGACCAUACUACACCUAGUAUAGGAUAUUGUAAUACGCGUACAAUGUUAUUUGAAAUUCAUAAAACACCUCAGUCGCGCCCAAGUCGGGUGCAUUAAACUCUGCGAAAGAUCGAUCGAUAUUCCCUUUCCCUGCCACGGCCAACAUUAUGUACAUAUUCUAGUUACCGAUCAUUAUGUAACCACACUGUGUAUAUUACUGAAGCAACCCUGAAAAUUCGUAUUCAACGACGGAGAGUUAAGACGGCGAAUUAUAGAGCUUCACCCUUAAGUCGAAAUACGAGCAUCCUGGAAUCGACAUGACAGUUUUUUUUCUCUUGUUAUAUUUAACCUGUCUAAAAACAGCUAUUACACAUGCAUUUAUUGCACAUACAGUGACAUUUCUUAAAAAGAGUUAAAAAUGUAGUAAAUUACUGUGCGUGCAUUAUAAGGUAUGAAAUCACGUAGAUAAUAAAUUUAUAUAAUGAUCCA